rnacentral:rRNA from 1 species
UACGAAGGGGGCUAGCGUUGCUCGGAAUCACUGGGCGUAAAGGGUGCGUAGGCGGGUCUUUAAGUCAGGGGUGAAAUCCUGGAGCUCAACUCCAGAACUGCCUUGAUACUGGGAAGCUUGAGUCCGGGAGAGGUGAGUGGAACUCCGAGUGUAGAGGUGAAAUUCGUAGAUAUUCGGAAGAACACCAGUGGCGAAGGCGGCUCACUGGCCCCGGUACUGACGCUGAGG